GGAUGUGAGGGCGAUCUGGCUGCGACAUCUGUCACCCCAUUGAUCACCAGGGUUGAUUUGGCUGAUCUGGCUGGCUGGGCGGUGUCCCCUUCCUCCCUCACUGCUCCAUGUGUGUCCCUCCCAAAGCUGCUUGCUCAGUCGAAGAGGAUGACCAUCCCCAGUAGAGGAGGACCAGUCUUCUGGGGUGUACGAGUAGUUGCACUCCCCUGCUAGAACCUCAAAACAAGCUCUCCCUGGCUCUCAUAAGUUUUAACUUUCACAGUCAUGAAUAAUGAUGCUUAACUCUGUUGCCUAAGAUAUAUAAGUGUGCCUGCUU
rnacentral:snRNA from 1 species